AUGGAAGCUUUUAUCUCAACCACAAGAUUCUGUGGUUAAAUGUUUGAGAACCACUGGACUAAACUUCUCUAGCCUUUCUUUUGGCAAAGUGUGUUUUCUGCCUCUCUGAUUAUAGAUGUUCUUUCAGAGACUCAUUUAGACAGGCUCAAAUUUAUAUGCUGUUGAGCUCUUUGGAGUUCCUAUAAAUUAGGAUGCACAUCGAGAUAAUUACCAUUCUGGAAUUCUAAACACUUAAAUACAAGUCAAUCCUUAUAACCCCCUUUUAAACCAAUUGCCUCACUGCAGACAUGGUCACUGAAUAUAUAUUAUCGAAUGCCAAUAAAACAGGAAACCCGAUCCUGCCAUUUUCCCGAUUAGAUAGUACAGAGGGGUUAAAGCCAGAAUCUCAGCCGUCAUUCUGACGGCAGGAUCUUGCUUCUCUGGACAGUCUAACUCUGGUUGUCAGGCCAGGCACAGGGGCAGACCCAACGCCUUCCAUCCCUUCGGCUCUGUAGAGUCAUGGAAAGGACCAGCUUGUAAUCCCUUGCUUUUGGGAAAGAAACUGGUUUUCUUCUGUGGUCAACGGUGUCUACCAAUCGCUAAAGGAAACAAUAGACCCAGGGCAAGCGCUACUCUCAAGUGGUGGCACUGGGAGGGAUCAGGUCAGCGUCCGAGCCAGGGAUUAAGGCAGCCGAGGCCAGUGGUGGAUCCCAGAAGACCACAGAGAUGGCUUCUCCAGGGCACACCUGCUCUGAAAAGGAGUAUGGGGGCCUGGGGAACCGAGGCAGAGAAUGGUUUUAGGACUCUGUAAAAUCAGAACGAACUUCAUAGAAGAGCCUUAGAAAUGUUGUGGGGAAGCACAUGGAAAAACUAAAAGCCAGACAAGUGACACUCCUUGCUCAGGUCACCCUUAGGUCACAGUAUUUCACUUCUUCCAGUCUGCACUGUGAGCCCUCAGGCCUCUCUCCACCGGGGCUGGACACGUCAAUGAGGUAACUGAGGAGGAGUGUUUCCCCGAAGGCAAGGAGCCUUCGGGAAGGGAGGGUGGGGGGACGGCGUUUUCCCACCGGGAGCCAUUGCUCAACAGGCAACAGCCAGAACCCAGGCCAAAUUCAUCACCAUGUGAGACUCUCAACCCCACCCCGGACUACUACGGGCUCCAGAGAAUAGCCAGGGUGUGCGCGAAUUCCCUCCUGCCUCCCUUGGCUGUCCGCCUGAGCCAGUCUGUGCCUGUUAAGUUUAUCUUCAGUUAAAACUGUGACCACACCCCAAACCCUCAGUCCUUGGGCCGCCUCUGUACUGAAGUGCUUGCUGUGUGUAUCAGGGAUGGAGCAUCCUGCCCUUUCUGAGGUUGACAGGCUGGGACGAUUCUGAUAGGGACCGGGACCUCACACAUAUCAUUUACUUCCGUAAAUAGUCAUCCCGUUAAUAAGCAUCCACCGAGAGAAGACGGUUCCUUUGCAGGCUCCCAGGCCACAGGCCUCGGUUUCCGGAAAAUGCAGAUCGGGACGGCAGAUGAAAUAAAGCCAUCACCAGCCCACAGGACAGUCUCAAGAGGAGUGACUGUCCCUGUCCUCUGCAGUUGUUGCCAGAGAGCAAUUUGCCCUUGAAUCCAAUCUCCCAUCCCUAAACUGACAAUUUCAUUUCCCUCCCAGCCCACCCCCUGCCCCGAAGAUCUGCUGAAGCCGCGAGUUCCAGCUGAAGAGCCGGCAGGAUAAUAGAACCUCAGGGCCCUUGGUAAUGAAGAAGUCAGAGUACCCACAGAAAGGCAGGAUUCGCGAAUAAUUCCCCCUGCUUACAAUCAUUGGGGAUGUCCGGGGGAGAUAUGGAACAACUACUUCUCCUGGGAUGCUGAAAAAGGGUUCCUGCAUGGUAGGGGAAACUGGAAUUGACAUCCCCUUCAAAGACUCCAUGCUUCAAGACAGCACUGUGAAUUUUGAGGGCACUUAAAGAAACGUGCAGAAAGAUACUGCAACUUCUUAAGAAGAUGCUGAUCUCUGCCUUUUCCCACUCAUUCGUUCAGUGCUUGCAGAACACCUUCUACGUGGCAGACAUUGCUGGGGACCGACAGUGGAUUAGGUAUGGUCUCUACCCCCAGGAGAGACAGACACAAUAAGCCCAUGUUUUCAGGGCAGCUUGUUGUGUACAAUGAGUCUACGUGGGGCGCUAUAUGACAAAGGGGAUGUUGUGGCUACUUUGGGAGAGUUCCACCGAAGAAGUCUUCAGAGAAGGAAAACGUUCGCCUUGGGUCUUGCGAGUCAGAUGAGUGGGAGUGCCCCCGACAGCUAAGAGGCACAGACAUUCUCAGAACAGGGAACACCAUCUUCUCUUUUCCUUCCUGACAGCCUCGUGAAACAGAGAACAGAAUGGCGUGUAGCUGUUUUGUUAAAUGGGAAAGGUUACUGACAGAUCAACUGGUGAGCCUCCAAAUUUGCAAGAGUCCUCUGACCCCUGCCCUGGGACUCACCACCACAUCUGAGCUAUUCUAUUAACAAUUACCAGCCUUAGGGUUCAUGCCUAAUACCCAUCAUCGUUCCCUGGCUGGGGAGUUACCAGUUGAGGUGAUCCCUCUAUUUGUGAAAUGCAGAUCAAAUGGACAAAGCUUAUUUCCAUCUCUGCCUCAUCUUUUAUAAAUAUCAAGGAAUGCCCCAACUUUGCCCCCAUCCCACUCCCAACUCCAACCCACUCAAAUCAAAAGAGGAGUUCAAAACCUCAACCUUGAAAAGCUUCUGGAAUCCAAUAGGUUCUGCCUUGCUUGCCUCAUCACAUCCAUUCCCACAGCACGGGCAAGUCAGGUAUGAGUUUCAGUUUACAUGGGCCCCAGCAUUGAAGGCUGAGUGCCCACCAAGUACCUCUGUAAGGGCAAGGCCCAGGAGUGACGCAUGGCGACAGCCACCCACCACGUCCAGCUCGUGUGGUUAUGGGAGAAAGGAGGACUUCAGGUGGCAGAAUUAUAAGGAGUGGGGAGAAGGCAGAGCCUCAGGCAUUGGAUGUCCCGUGGGCUCUGUAGAAGGUUGACUGAUCCACUCGCCCUGAUCCCGUGGCUCUAAAGCUGUGCCCACAUAGGUCAGCACACACCGAGGUCUUCAGCCUGGUGCAGCAGAAAGAGCAGGGGAUUGGGAGCCACUCAGAUCUGGGCUAGAAGCAUGGUGGUGGCUCCACUUAGCUGUGUGGCUCUGCAUACAAUGGGGCUAAUCAAACUUAUCUCAGAAGGUGGCGUGGAUUAAACAGUAGGAUGAGAGUAAGAAUCCAGGCCUGGUGUUAGCUACAAACACAUACAGGGUGAUCAGCAGAUGUUAAUAUGUCAGACAACAGGCAUGUAUUGAGCACCUGCUAAGACUUCCAUCUUGAACUGAUGGUCUUUAACCAUCGUCGUUCAACCUGACAUUAUUCAUUCACUCAACAAACCUUUAUUUGAGAUGAACUCUAUGUCAAGCCCUGAGACUUGUGCUGGGGAUGCCGACAAGGAUAAGAUGGAUAAGUGUCCCUGUGGAAUGCCUACACCAUAUACUGUCUGCAGCUUUGUCUAUAAGGUUGAAAUACCGGAAACAACCCAAGGCCCAACAAUAAGGGAAUGGUUAAGUAGAUGGAAAAGAAGCCUUGUUAUAGGAUCGUGUUGCCAAGUAUUUGUUAUAAUAGUAACUGAAACAGGCAGGAAAGGAGAAGUUUUUAAAAGUUUUUUUAUUUAUUUCGAGAGAGAGAGAGAACAAGCACAGAGGUGGGGCAGAGAGAGAGGGAGAGAGGGAAUCCCAAGCAAGCUCUGUGCUAUCGGCGAGGAGCCCAAUGUGGGGCUCGAACUCAUGAGCUGUGAGAUCAUGACCUGAGCUGAAACCAAGAGUCGGAUGCUUAACCGACUGAGCCAACCCAGGUGCCCCAGGAAAUGAAAUUUUAAGUACAAUUGGUCCUCAAUAUUCAUGGCAAUGUUCUACAAAGUCACUUCACACACUGACUCAGUGAACAGGACCAUUGUUCUUAGGAGAAAUACAUGGUUAGGUUCCUGUGAGCUUCUGGUUAUAGCAUUUUUGUCAACUGACCAAUUCCUAUUCUUAUUUUAUGUGUGUUUCUGUUUAAAGACACUUUAUUUGAUAUCUAUUGUUGAUUCAUCAACAUAGAACCCAUGGCCAACAGCGCUAUGGCCCCUGCCCUAACGAAGCUUUUCUAACACAUGUACUUUUUCUUAUAAGACACAUCACAGCUUCCUGGCUCUUGAGAACACUUGCAACAUCAUGGUGGGGGGCUAUUUUAAACAGUGAAAUCACCAACAGGAAUCACACAAAUACAAAAAACAUUGCGCUAAAUAGACUGGCAAGAGGCCAUUUGUUUACAGUAUGGAGCUGAAACAAGAAGGCAGAGACUCUCUGUGUUUUGCCUUGGCUGGGAACCCGGAUGUGGGGUCACUCAAACUUGUCACUUUGUGCAUGUCAGCGAAUGACCAUGAAAGUUCCUUGAGCAUCGGUUUUGAGGCUACAGAUACAUUUUAGUGAGUAGGGAAAUUUACAAAUAAGGAAUCCAUAGAGGGUGUGCAUGUGAAUAAUGUAGGAGAUCGCAUUAGUAGCGAUGCUUUUCUGUUUUGUUUUGUUUUGUUUUGUUUUUUAAGUUUAUUUGUUUUGAGAAGAGAGAGGGAGAGAGAGAGAAUCCCAAACGGGCUGCGUGCUAGUGGCACAGAGCCUGUCACGGGGCUCAGCCCCACAAACCGUGACAUCAUGACCAGAGCUGAAACCAAGAUUUGGAUGCUUAGCUGACUGAGCCACCCAGGUGUCCUGAUGCUUCUCUGUUUUAAAAUUUUUGUUAAUGUUAUCCAGUUGAGUUUUGUCCCCUACAUUUAAACAUAAAUACGCCUCAGAGAAAAUGAACAUGCAGCCUGCAUGUCGCCUCCUAAACCCUCCCUCUCCACCUACUUUGUCUCCUCAGCUUGGUCAGCGGGCUCAGAGAUGGUGGGAAUGAGGCGUCAAGGUCAGUAGCUCCCAGCCUGGGCAAUUCCACAGCGACUGAAGUUUCUGGAGUGGCAGUAAGGCCAGCCACAAAUGCUUGUAACUGCUGUCCCCUGUAGCUGCCGUCCCGCCCUGACGCAGGACCCCUCACUAGAGAACAGCACUGGGCAGUUUCUCUCAGGUUGUGAUCCUGUCCUCUCUCCAUGGCUCCCAGGAACACAGCCCCGUCAGAAACUCCCAUUUUCCUGUGUUUUGACGCUGAUUAAAGGUCUUCCUAAAACUUGGACUCUUUGGAAGAAGGAUUGAAUAUUCCUUUGAUUCAAUAUGUCUGUGAUGGAAAUAUUUAGAAUUAUUGCUCUAAAUUAUGUAAAAGAUACCCUUUUCUAUUCCUUUUUAAAGUUAUUUGUCAAGAAGCCAGCUUACCUGUUGACGGGACCUCGUAUGCUCCAUUGGAUUAUUCUAGGGGUCCAUUUGAAGGGAAAGAUCCAGAAACAUCUUCAUCAAUACUUGCAGGGGCUAGGAGCAGUAUCGUCCUAAUUCCUGACUAGGGGGGCAGGAAAUUCCAGGCCACAAAGGUUGCUAACAUUUUUACCUGAUUUGCCUCCGGAUUUAAAGGUACGUGAAUGGCUUGUUUGUCUAACUCAGCUCUGCUCAAAUCAAUCUUUCAUGGAUCCCCCCAGUAAAGAUCACCUUGGGUCAAAGGUCA